UACGUAGGGGGCUAGCGUUGUCCGGAAUCAUUGGGCGUAAAGCGCGUGUAGGCGGUCCGGUAAGUCCGCUGUGAAAGUCGGGGGCUCAACCCUCGGAUGCCGGUGGAUACUGUCGGGCUUGAGUACGGAAGAGGCGAGUGGAAUUCCGUGGUGUAGCGGUGAAAUGCGCAGAUAUCAGGAGGAACACCAAUUGCGAAGGCAGCUCGCUGGGGACGUUACUGACGCUGAGACGCGAAAGCGUGGGGAGCAAACAGG
rnacentral:rRNA from 1 species